rnacentral:rRNA from 1 species
UACGAAGGGGGCUAGCGUUGUUCGGAAUCACUGGGCGUAAAGGGCGCGUAGGCGGCCGAUCAAGUCGGGGGUGAAAGCCUGUGGCUCAACCACAGAAUUGCCUUCGAUACUGUUUGGCUUGAGACCGGAAGAGGUUAGUGGAACUGCGAGUGUAGAGGUGAAAUUCGUAGAUAUUCGCAAGAACACCAGUGGCGAAGGCGGCUCACUGGCCCGGUACUGACGCUGAGAUACGAAAGCGUGGGGAGCAAACAGG